rnacentral:rRNA from 1 species
GACGAACGCUGGCGGCGUGCUUAACACAUGCCAGUCGAACGGUGAAGCGCCUUCCUUUUUGGUGGGUGUGGAUGAGUGGCGAACGGGUGAGUAACACGUGAGUAACCUGCCCCCUUCUUCUGGAUAACCGCAUGAAAGUGUGGCUAAUACGGGAUAUUCUGGGUCUGUCGCAUGAUGGGUCUGGGAAAGAUAUUGUUUCGGUGGGGGAUGGGCUCGCGGCCUAUCAGCUUGUUGGGGGGGUGAUGGCCUACCAAGGCGGUGGCGGGUAGCCGGCCUGAGGGGGUGGACGGUCACACUGGGACUGAGACACGGCCCGGACUCCUACGGGAGGCAGCAGUGGGGAAUAUUGCACAAUGGGCGCAAGCCUGAUGCAGCGACGCCGCGUGAGGGAUGGAGGCCUUCGGGUUGUGAACCUCUUUCGCCAGUGAAGCAGGCCUGCCUCGUUUGUGGGUGGGUUGACGGUAGCUGGAUAAGAAGCGCCGGCUAACUACGUG